rnacentral:rRNA from 1 species
GACGGAAGGUGCAAGCGUUGCUCGGAAUCACUGGGCGUAAAGGGUGCGUAGGCGGCCGCGCAAGUCUGGCGUGAAAGCCCCGGGCUCAGCCCGGGAAGGGCGCUCGAAACGGCGCGGCUCGAGUGCCGGAGGGGAGAGUGGAAUUCCUGGUGUAGCGGUGAAAUGCGCAGAUAUCAGGAAGAACACCCGUGGCGAAGGCGGCUCUCUGGGACGGUACUGACGCUGAGACGCGAAAGCGUGGGGAGCGAACAGG